AAACACUCACCACUUUAUUGUGUGUAGACUUGUCCCUUUUACAUGCUUUGUAUGUGUGUAAUGGGAUUAAAUGAAUGAUGCUGCGUAGAUUACACAGAAUAUGUGAUAAUAUCGUCAUAUUCAGAGUGAUCUUUAUACGUGCAUGUACCCAGUGCAUACUAUUUUUUGGUAUGCACACCUUUAAA
rnacentral:misc_RNA from 1 species